rnacentral:rRNA from 1 species
UACGUAGGGGGCGAGCGUUGUCCGGAAUUACUGGGCGUAAAGGGUGCGUAGGCGGUCUGACAAGUCGGAUGUGGAAUACCCGGGCUUAACCCGGGGGUGUCAUUCGAAACUGUCAGACUUGAGUGCAGAAGAGGAAAGUGGAAUUCCCAGUGUAGCGGUGAAAUGCGUAGAUAUUGGGAGGAACACCAGUGGCGAAGGCGACUUUCUGGGCUGUAACUGACGCUGAGGCACGAAAGCGUGGGGAGCAAACAGGAUUAGAUACCCUGGUAGUCCACGCUGUAAAUGGUGGAUGCUAGGUGUAGGGGGUAUCGACCCCCCCUGUGCCGGAGCAAACGCAAUAAGCAUCCCGCCUGGGGAGUACGGCCGCAAGGUUGAA